rnacentral:tRNA from 1 species
AGCCCGAUAGUUAAAGAUAAUAACUGUAAAUUGCAAAUUUACCAUUACGCCAAGUGUGUUUGGGCAU